GUCAUAGAAACCUGACGACACUGCCUCCGAAGACAACCUAACCUUGAGGAGGUGAAUGAAGUGAAUGAUGUCGCAUCCAACCAAUAAGAGAAACGGGCGGCCGUCAGACAUGACGCCAAUGGGAUUCGGAUUCAACAGCCAUUUUGUGAACCAUACAAGCAUUUCCAGGUCAGACGGAUCAGCAAGGAAGCUUCCAGUGUUUAACUGGAAACAGUUACAUUAAUGGCGAUGCAUCGCCCUUUUAAAAGAAAUGAAACUUACAUAAGAGCAACAAUUAUCACCCAACUGUUUCCAAGUUUAUUGUUUUGGUACUGAGCUUUGUUAUUCAUAAUUUUGAAAGCAACCUUUUUUAUCAGAUGUUUCACUGAUGGUUCAGGCUGUUCAAUGUUGCUCUGGUCUAUUUACUGUGAAUUGGCCAUAUAGUUCCAUUUGUCUGUAUGUAAUUGGCAUUUCUGCAAGUUAUGGUUCUGUUUUGGCAGGUUCUCCAGUUCCAGCUGAAUGUCUCUCCAUCUUGAGUUCUUGCAUUUCAGGUUCUGCUAUCCAAUUGCUGUUGCACGUUGUCAUGCCAUUAAUUCUCCUUUUCCUGUUAGCUGAAUUUUUCUUAUCUUAUAGAAAGAUUAAAUAGUUACAGCAUGGAAGGAGGCUAUUUGGCCUGUCACAUCCAUGCUGGCUUUCUACAAGAGCAAUUCACCUAGUGUCACUCCCCUGCCUUUGCCUGAGGCCCUGCAAUUUUUUUCCUUUUCACAUAAUGAUCCAAUUCCCUUUUGAAUACCAUGAAUCAAUCUGCCUCUGUCUCUGAAUACCCUUAAGCUGUGGGGCGACCACAUCUAUAAAUGUGCUAUCCACUAAGCUCUCAACCUCACAGAUGCGUAAUAAUGAUGCCAGCUGCUGCCCAAGCUACAAACUCAAACUGCUAAGCUGAUGUCACUUCCUACACAUAUAGUUAUCCAGAGUAGGGGAAAUGCCUUGGAGUUCCCACUUGGAACAGGAUGUGCCCUCUAUGCGUCUGAGUUGCCCUGCCAUCCCUCUAUUUAUUAGUUAAUAAAACAUAUUACUUUUUUAAAAAGACUCACCGGUUACUCACCAGUCAGCUGCUUCUCUUCAGCUGAUGUCAAUUAAACAUAGGGAGCUUACCGGAAAUCAUUUUACAAAACCUUAUGUUUUGAAUAACUGAAAAUUUAGAACUGUUUAGCAUUACUGUCUCUUGUUAUUUAAUUAUAACUUUAUCCUCUGGAUCUGAUUGACGAAGCACUGUUUAUAAUUACGUGGUAAAAUACAAAAUUGGCUUCCAUCUUUAGCACCUGCACUAAUUGAUCAAUCAAAUUAGCUUUACUUUAUAGUUGAUUAAUUUAAAUUAAAUUUAAAACUUACCAGCAAACUCACCCCAGGUGAAUCCUUGUCCUGUGACUCACUUCACUUCUGGGACAGCCCGAUCCCACACAGCAUUAGCUGUUCAACUCCCGUUCUUUUUUUAAAAAUCAACUAAUCACUUACCUACUUCUUCCUUUAAACUUCUCUUUAAACACUUUCUUUAACUUCUCUUAGCCAUGGUUGGAACUCUUUUCCCUUUGGGGCUUUUACUACUUAAGGGAAUAUUUAUUGCAAAUUAUGAAUUAAUUUUUUAAAUGUUUGUCAUUGUUUAUCGCAGAAUCAGAUCUAAUGUUGGAUCAGGGAUCAUAUACAACAGCACAUCCCUUCAGCUGUUCACAACAGACAAAGUACUGACCGUACUCAACCAACCUAUGCUUGCAAAACUCAGAACACAGUGUCCAUUAGAUGUGAUUCCGCGAUUGGACAACACUUGCUAAAUAAUCCCAAUAAGAAUUACACUGACCAACAAUCUAAGAUUAUCCGUCGGGCUUGCAGUGUGGUUCACUUACGCAUGCUAAGAGCUACAUAUAUUCACGCAUAGGGCCCUGUCCUUUGCAAACUGAAAGAACAUGUCCACGCAUUGCUCCCUUUCCAACUAAACAAGAGCUUGUUGGACAGCCACUCCCUGGUUCAUUCCCCAUGGCAAUGGCUUGACCAAUCAGAGUUGACCUGUCUGGUUUAAAUUUAACCAAAGCUUGGCAGUCAACUGUAUGUUCUCCAUGGCAAUGCCUCUGCCAAUCAGAGUCUACUUGCAAACCAAUCAGCACCCUCUUCUCAGACAGUAUAAAUAAUUUUUCCCAUUGAGAUUUGAUAUUCUUGCAAAUCUGUCAUGAAGAGUGCAAGACGAAAAGCUUCUACGGCAUGUCUUUUUUCAGAAAUACAAAUUAUUGUUGCAUACUGAGACCUCCAGUAUAGGCAUUAGAACAUGGUAAAGGUCCCUGAUAUUUGGCAGAAGUGCAUAGGUGGUUUGAGCUCUAUAACGCUCCUUGGCUAAGACUGGAAAACAAUCAAGAGGGAGGGAAUCAUCUGUAAUGUUGAAGGAAAGAGGACCUCAGUAGCAACCAUAGUGUGAGGAAACCCUGAGAAUAACUCUGAAUGGUAGCUAAAGUGAGUAGGGAGAGAAAAAGAUCCACAGUAAGAAGGAACAAGGAAAUCGACCUAAACAAUCCUGCCAGAUUCACCCACAUUCCAGAUAGAAAUUGACAAUUUAACCUAGUUGCCACAUUAAUGGACAUCAGGUAUUGUCUUUAUAUGUGAGCCUUCUGUUGGAUUUGCUGAGGCCUGAGACUAAGGGACUAGAUUUUACUGAACUAUAUUAACUUGUAAUGGGUAAGCAUGAUGUCCUGUUAAGUAAAUUGUACAGUAGUAAACAGCUGUAACUUGGAGUUAAUUAAUUGCGUCGUGUAUCUCAACCUCUAUUAUGUAAAAUAAUUGUUUUUAAAAAUUAUCACCAUGCAGUUUUUGACCAGAAGUUAUUUAAGAAUAUUAGUAGUUGUUGCAGCAGUUUAAGAUCACCUGUGAUCUGACUGAUUAAGUGCAUCUCACUCCUUCCUCCUGGUUAAAGACCAUGGUGAGACAUGAAAAUAGGCAAAGCUCUAGACUUUACUCUGGAUGGAAAUAAAUUGUUCCAAUCAACAAGUAGUCGUUGUGAUUAUGUGUCAGGUCAGCUGACUGACAUAACUAUAUGAGAAAAAAAGAAACUAUCAAUAACACAGCAGAAUAUAAACCAAAACACUGAAAACCCUUAAAAGAAUUAUUUUUAUAUAAGCCCGCAGCCUCCCUUGGUUUGGAGUUGAAUGUUAAGAAGUUAAAAAGAUAUAUUCCUUGAAAAUAUGUGAAUGUAUUACAGUUUGGAGUAAUAGUUCUGUGAAUUGCAAAGGCUCAUCAAUGGAGUUGGGUAUCUCCUUUCUAUAGUUAAUAAAUUCCUGUCUAAUCUCA